UACGAAGGGUGCUAGCGUUGUUCGGAAUCAUUGGGCGUAAAGCGUGCGUAGGCGGCUUGGCAAGUCAAUUGUGAAAGCCCAGGGCUUAACCCUGGAAUUGCAGUUGAAACUUCCUAGCUAGAGUAUGAAGAGGGAUAGUGGAAUUCUUAGUGUAGGGGUGAAAUCCGUAGAUAUUAAGAGGAACACCGGUGGCGAAAGCGACUAUCUAUAUCAUUACUGACGCUGUUGCACGAAAGCGUGGGGAGCAAACAGG
rnacentral:rRNA from 1 species